CACCCUGCCUCUCAGUGCUCUGUCCUUCCUACAGACACAGGCAGGACCCAGCACUCCUCCUGGUAGUGGGGGAAUCCACCCCAGCAUCCACCAGGGAAUCAGCCUGGUCCUCACAAGAGCAGGGUGGCCACCCAGGACCACCCAAGAGAAGAAGCUGUGAUGCCUUGGGGCAGGACACCCCAUUCCCACCCACUUCCCAAGCCCUGGCUGGCUCGGUCCCCACUGCACCAUCCUACCUGCUGGAGCCAGCGGAUGCGCCUCUGCAGCCUGCCCUCCUCCAGGUCCUCCAGGAGGGCACGGAGGCGGUGCUGGGCGGCUGUGCUGUUCACCUCAUCCAGCUUCAGCUGCAGGAAAGUGGUUACCCAUGGCUGGCUGACAGCAGGAGGGGACCACGGGGAAUCCCAAGCAGUGGCAUGUCCCAUUUCUUGAUUAAAAGGUUGGAGCUGUGCCCA